rnacentral:rRNA from 1 species
GAUUUGGCGGACGGGUGAGUAACACGUGGACAAUUUACCUUCCGGCGGGGGACAACAGUUCGAGAGGACUGCUAAUACCGCGUACGUCGGCGAGAACCCUGGUUCUUGUCGAGAAAGAUGGCCUCUCCUUGGAAGCUGUCACCGGAAGAUGAGUCCGCGGCCCAUCAGCUAGUUGGCGAGGUAACGGCUCACCAAGGCUAAGACGGGUAGCUGGUCUGAGAGGAUGAUCAGCCACACUGGGACUGCGACACGGCCCAGACUCCUACGGGAGGCAGCAGUGGGGAAUAUUGGGCAAUGGGCGAAAGCCUGACCCAGCCACGCCGCGUGAGUGAUGAAGGCCUUCGGGUCGUAAAGCUCUGUGGAGAGGGACGAACAAGCCGGCCAACUACCGGCCCUGACGGUACCUCUUUAGCAAGCACCGGCUAACCAUGUGCCAGCAGCCGCGGUAAUAAU